UAUUGUGCAUAAAGCAGGACUUCACGGCGGUUUGAAUUUAUAUCCCCUUGAUUAUUAACGAGGUUGUGCAUCUUUUCAUAUAUCUAUUGGCCAUUCGUGUUCCAUCUUCUGUGAAGUGACUACUCAGAAACAGAGACGGGAUCCUCAUCAGCUUCAAUUACAAAUAUUAAGGCUCCGGACAGCACUUUGACAGAGAGGCGGCCGGCCCUGCUCCGUUCCGCCCCCCUAAAUCAUCGCUGAAUUAACAUCACAAUCGGCGGCUGGCGCACGUUCAGACUUAAAUGGUGGCAUAUUGUUCGCGCACUGUCUCGGGCAGACCCGCGGGAUCGCUGCACCGGGCGGUCGCCUCCGCCCCUCCGCCACGGUCCCCUCGGCCUCCCUGGAGGCUGCGGCUCGCCAUCACCGCAGCGCGCUGGGCCCUGUCGCCGGCAGGGGGCGCUGCAGGCGGGGGUGAGCCAGGGUGGGCGCGGAGGGUUUGUAGCCGGGGGAGAGUCCCAGCGUUUGGUCCAGAGUGGGAGGGGAGGACUGUUUAUUUAUGCAAACCAAAUGCAAAUAAAGGCUCCGAAGCUGC
rnacentral:sRNA from 1 species